rnacentral:rRNA from 1 species
UGGGGAAUUUUGGACAAUGGGCGAAAGCCUGAUCCAGCCAUGCCGCGUGAGUGAAGAAGGCCUUCGGGUUGUAAAGCUCUUUUAGUCGGAAAGAAAGAGUCGCAAUGAAUAAUUGUGAUUUAUGACGGUACCGACAGAAAAAGCACCGGCUAACUACGUGCCAGCAGCCGCGGUAAUACGUAGGGUGCGAGCGUUAAUCGGAAUUACUGGGCGUAAAGGGUGCGCAGGCGGUUUUGCAAGUCAGAUGUGAAAGCCCCGGGCUUAACCGUGGGAAUUGCGUUUGAAACUACAAGGCUAGAGUGCAGCAGAGGGGAGUGGAAUUCCGAUGUGUAGCAGUGAAAUGCGUAGAGAUGUGGAAGAACACCGAUGGCGAAGGCAGCGUCCUGGGUUGACACUGACGCU